CGAAGUGAGAAAGGGCGUACGGAGGAUGCCUAGGCUCCCACAGGCGACGAAGGACGUGGCAAGCUGCGAAAAGCCGCGGCGAGGUGCAAGCGACCCUUGACCCGCGGAUGUCCGAAUGGGAAAACCCGGCACGCUGGAGGCGUGCCAUCCGGCCAGUCCGGAAGCCAACGCCGCGAACUGAAACAUCUUAGUAGCGGCAGGAAAAGAAAAUAAGAAUGAUUCCCCCAGUAGCGGCGAGCGACCGGGGAAGAGCCCAAACCCGCCCUGUUACGGCAGUGCGGGGGUUGUAGGACCACGAUAUGGAAGACGUAUGGCGAGCGGAAGCGUCUGGAAAGUCGCGCCGCAGCGGGUGAAAGCCCCUUACGCGAAGCCAUGCAUGUUCCUAGUGGUAUCCUGAGUAGCGCGGGGCACGUGAAACCCUGUGUGAAUCCGGCGGGCCCAUCCGCCAAGGCUAAAUACUCGUGGGAGACCGAUAGUGAACCAGUACCGUGAGGGAAAGGUGAAAAGAACCCUGUGCAAGGGAGUGAAAAAGCCCCUGAACCCGUACGCCUACAAGCGGUCGGAGCAGCUGAAGCUGUGACGGCGUGCCUUUUGCAUAAUGAACCUACGAGUUGCCAUGCCCGGCGAGGUUAAGCGCUGUCAAGCGCGCAGCCGCAGCGAAAGCGAGUCUGAAGAGGGCGCAAUAGUCUGGUGUGGCAGACGCGAAACCAAGUGAUCUACCCUUGUCCAGGAUGAAGUCCGGGUAACACCGGAUGGAGGUCCGCACCAAUAAGCGUUGAAAAGCUUCUGGAUGAGGUGAGGGUAGGAGUGAAAGGCCAAUCAAACUUGGAGAUAGCUCGUACUCCCCGAAAUGCAUUUAGGUGCAGCCUUGCCGUUUGACGCACGGAGGUAGAGCGACUGAUUGGAUGCGAGGGUUUCACCGCCUAUCAAGUCCAGACAAACUCCGAAUGCCGUGCGCCUAUAAGGCAGGAGUGAGGGCAUGGGUGCUAAGGUCCGUGCCCGAGAGGAGAAGAAUCCAGACCACCGGCUAAGGCCCCGAAAUACAGGUUAAGUUAGUCUAACGGGGUGGGGCCCCAGUGACAGCUAGGAUGUUGGCUUGGAAGCAGCCAUUCAUUCAAAGAGUGCGUAACAGCUCACUAGUCGAGGGGCCCCGCAUGGAUAAUAAUCGGGUAUCAAACCUGUUGCCGAAGCCGUGGGACGGGAAACCGUCGGUAGGGGAGCAUUGCAUGCGCGCGGAAUGUACGGGGUGACCCGUGCUGGAGCGCAUGGAAAAGCAAAUGUAGGUAUAAGUAACGAUAAAGGGGGUGGGAUGCCCCCUCGCCGUAAGGCCAAGGUUUCCCGGGCGACGUUAAUCGUCCCGGGGUCAGUCGGGUCCUAAGGGUAAGCGUAUGAGCGAGUCCCGAUGGCAGAAACGGUCAACAUUCCGUUACUGCCCGGCAUGGCGAUGCGGAGACGGAGAAGUGACACUUCCGCGCCCUGACGGAAAAGGGCGUUGAAGGCCGUAGGUGCAGAGGAUGGCAGGAAAGUCCACCGUCCGAGCCGAAAGCCGAUAGUACGCGAGGCCCCCGGGCUGAGCGAAAGCGAAGGUAAUCAAGCUCCCGAGAAAAUCCGCUAAGCAUCCAACAUGGCGGGCACCCGUACCGCAAACGGACACACGUGGCCGGGUAGAGCAUACCAAGGCGCUUGGAAGAUUCACGGUUAAGGAACUAGGCAAAAUGACCCCGUAACUUCGGGAGAAGGGGUCCUCACGUGAGUGAGGCGCAGCGAAACGGUCCAGGCAACUGUUUACCAAAAACACAGGGCUGUGCGAAAUCGAAAGAUGCAGUAUACAGCCUGACACCUGCCCGGUGCCGGAAGGUUAAGAGGAGGGCUCACCGCAAGGGAAGGCCCGAAUUGAAGCCCCGGUAAACGGCGGCCGUAACUAUAACGGUCCUAAGGUAGCGAAAUUCCUUGUCGGGUAAGUUCCGACCUGCACGAAUGGUGUAAUGAUCUGGACGCUGUCUCAACCGUGAGCUCAGUGAAAUUGUAGUAUCGGUGAAGAUGCCGAUUACCCGCGAUGGGACGAAAAGACCCCGUGAACCUUUACUACAGCUUAACAUUGCGACCGGGCAUGCCUUGUGUAGGAUAGGCCGGAGGCAGAGAAUCAGGGGCGCCAGCCCUUGUGGAGCCGCCGUUGAAAUACGGCCCUGGGCCUGUUUGGUCGCUAACGCGUGUGAUACGCGGACACUGUUUGGCGGGUAGUUUGACUGGGGUGGUCGCCUCCAAAAGCGUAACGGAGGCUUCCCAAGGUGCCCUCAGGCCGAUUGGCAACCGGCCGCAGAGUGUAAUGGCAGAAGGGCGCUUGACUGGUAGGCCGACGGGCCGAUCAGGCAGGAAACUGGGGCAUAGUGAUCCGGUGGUCCCGCAUGGAAGGGCCAUCGCUCAAAGGAUAAAAGGUACUCCGGGGAUAACAGGCUGAUCCCUCCCAAGAGCUCAUAUCGACGGAGUGGUUUGGCACCUCGAUGUCGGCUCGUCACAUCCUGGGGCUGGAGAAGGUCCCAAGGGUUGGGCUGUUCGCCCAUUAAAGUGGCACGCGAGCUGGGUUCAGAACGUCGUGAGACAGUUCGGUCUCUAUCUAUCGUGGGCGCAGGAAACUUGCGUGGCUCCGGCACUAGUACGAGAGGACCGUGCUGGACCGACCUCCGGUGUGACGGUUGUGCCGCCAGGCGCAUUGCCGUGUAUCCGCGUCGGGUGUGGAUAAGCGCUGAAAGCAUCUAAGCGCGAAGCCCUCCACAAGAUGAGGUUUCCCUUGAGGGCCGUCAGAGACGAUGACGUAGAUAGGGCGCAGGUGUAAAGGCGGCGACGCCAAAGCCGAGCGCUACUAAUUGCCCGAGACUUCGGACA
rnacentral:rRNA from 1 species